GGGGAAGAUUGGACAAUGGGCGAAAGCCUGAUCCAGCCAUGCCGCGUGAGUGAAGAAGGACUUCGGAUUGUAAAGCACUUUAAGUUGGGAGGAAGGGCUGCAAGUUAAUACCUUGUAGUUUUGACGUUACCAACAGAAUAAGCAUCGGCUAACUCCGUGCCAGCAGCCGCGGUAAUACGGAGGAUGCGAGCGUUAUCCGGAUUUAUUGGGUUUAAAGGGUGCGCAGGCGGGAUUUUAAGUCAGCGGUGAAAUUUUCAGGCUCAACCUGAACACUGCCGUUGAAACUGGGAUUCUUGAGUAUGGAUGAAGUAGGCGGAAUUCGUUGUGUAGCGGUGACAUGCUUAGAUAUAACGAGGAACUCCGAUUGCGUAGGCAGCUUACUAAGCCAUAACUGACGCUCAAGCACGAAAGCGUGGGGAUCAAACA
rnacentral:rRNA from 1 species